rnacentral:rRNA from 1 species
AUUGAACGCUGGCGGCAGGCCUAACACAUGCAAGUCGAACGGUAGCACAGAGAGCUUGCUCUCGGGUGACGAGUGGCGGACGGGUGAGUAACGUCUGGGAAACUGCCCGAUGGAGGGGGAUAACUACUGGAAACAGUAGCUAAUACCGCAUAACGUCGCAAGACCAAAGUGGGGGACCUUCGGGCCUCACACCAUCGGAUGUGCCCAGAUGGGAUUAGCUAGUAGGUGGGGUAAUGGCUCACCUAGGCGACGAUCCCUAGCUGGUCUGAGAGGAUGACCAGCCACACUGGAACUGAGACACGGCCCAGACUCCUACGGGAGGCAGCAGUGGGGAAUAUUGCACAAUGGGCGCAAGCCUGAUGCUGCCAUGCCGCGUGUAUGAAGAAGGCCUUCGGGUUGUAAAGUACUUUCAGCGGGGAGGAAGGCGGUGAAGUUAACAGCUUCACCGAUUGACGUUACCCGCAGAAGAAGCACCGGCUAACUCCGUGCCAGCCGCCGCGGUAA